AGCUAUUGCGGCUGAAGUUUGUGAAGAGCUUUUUACUCCAUGUCCUCCUCAUGGCGAGCUUGCAUUAAAUGGAGUUGAAGUGUUUAUGAAUGCAAGUGCAAGUCACCACCAAUUUAGAAAGCUUGAUCUUCGUCUUCAUGCUCUUACUAGUGCCACUCGUACUCGUGGAAGGGUUUAUAUGUACAGUAAUCACCAAGGUUGUGAUGGUUGUCAGAUUAAAUCAUGGAUUAACUUCAAAGUUUCUACUUCUUAG